rnacentral:tRNA from 1 species
GGUAGGAUGGCUGAGGUCUAGGCGGUGGAUUGUAAACCCACGUACAGAGGUUAGAGCCCUCUUUCUACCA